rnacentral:rRNA from 1 species
CCUACGGGAGGCAGCAGUGAGGAAUAUUGGUCAAUGGACGGAAGUCUGAACCAGCCAUGCCGCGUGAAGGAAGACUGCUCUAUGAGUUGUAAACUGCUUUUGUACAGGGGUAAACCUGAAUACGUGUAUUCUGCUGAAAGUACUGUACGAAUAAGGAUCGGCUAACUCCGUGCCAGCAGCCGCGGUAAUACGGAGGAUCCAAGCGUUAUCCGGAUUUAUUGGGUUUAAAGGGUGCGUAGGCGGAUUGAUAAGUUAGAGGUGAAAUGUCGGGGCUUAACUCUGGAACUGCCUUUAAUACUGGUGAUCUAGAGAGUAGAGGAGGUAGGCGGAAUGCAUGGUGUAGCGGUGAAAUGCUUAGAGAUCAUACAGAACACCGAUUGCGAAGGCAGCUUACUAAUCUAUAUCUGACGUUGAGGCUCGAAAGCGUGGGGAGCAAACAGGAUUAGAUACCCCUGUAGUC